rnacentral:rRNA from 1 species
ACGAAGGGUGCUAGCGUUGUUCGGAAUGACUGGGCGUAAAGGGCGCGUAGGCGGUCUUUUAAGUUAGGCGUGAAAGCCCCGGGCUUAACCCGGGACGUGCGCUUAAGACUGGAAGGCUUGAGUAUGGAAGAGGUAAGUGGAAUUCCUAGUGUAGAGGUGAAAUUCGUAGAUAUUAGGAAGAACACCAGUGGCGAAGGCGGCUUACUGGUCCAUUACUGACGCUGAGGCGCGAAAGUGUGGGGAGCAAACAGG